rnacentral:rRNA from 1 species
ACGAACGCUGGCGGCGUGCUUCACCCAUGCCAGUCGCACGGAAAGGCCCUGCUUUUGUGGGGUGCUCGAGUGGCGAACGGGUGAGUAACACGUGAGUAACCUGCCCUUGACUUUGGGAUAACUUCAGGAAACUGGGGCUAAUACCGGAUAGGAGCUCCUGCUGCAUGGUGGGGGUUGGAAAGUUUCGGCGGUUGGGGAUGGACUCGCGGCUUAUCAGCUUGUUGGUGGGGUAGUGGCUUACCAAGGCUUUGACGGGUAGCCGGCCUGAGAGGGUGACCGGCCACAUUGGGACUGAGAUACGGCCCAGACUCCUACGGGAGGCAGCAGUGGGGAAUAUUGCACAAUGGGCGGAAGCCUGAUGCAGCAACGCCGCGUGCGGGAUGACGGCCUUCGGGUUGUAAACCGCUUUCGCCUGUGACGAAGCGUGAGUGGCGGUAAUGGGUAAAGAAGCACCGGCUAACUACGUG